GCUGGGAUAGCUCAGUUGGCAGAGCAUGAGACUCUUAAUCACAGGAUCGUGGGUUCGAGACCCACGUUGAGUG